rnacentral:rRNA from 1 species
GACGAACCGUGCAAACGUUAUUCGGAAUCACUGGGCAUAAAGGGCGCGUAGGCGGCUUUCUAAGUCAGGGGUGAAAUCCGGCAGCUCAACUGUCGCAGUGCCUUUGAUACUGGAGAGCUCGAGGGAGGUAGGGGUCUGUGGAACUUCCGGUGGAGCGGUGAAAUGCGUAGAGAUCGGGCGGAACACCAGCGGCGAAGGCGGCAUCCUGGCGCGUAACUGACGCUGAGGUGCGAAAGCCAGGGGAGCGAACGGG